rnacentral:tRNA from 1 species
GCCCGGGUGAUGGAAUUGGUAGACAUACAGGACUUAAAAUCCUGGGGCUUUAUUGCCGUGCGGGUUCAAGUCCCGCCCCGGGUA